rnacentral:lncRNA from 1 species
GAAAGGGCUCCAUAAUGAAUCUUCUGGCAGGUUUGAGAGAAAGAAGCAGCUGGGUACUCAUGGCAGUAAAACAUAGUGGAACCUACUGUGUCUGAAAUCCCAUGACAAGCAAGGAAGCACUCUGCAGGCAUGAUCAGGAGAGGAGGAGAGGGCAGGAGAAUGAGUCACUGCAGGAUAAUGUCACUGAGGAAGGUGGAGGCUCUCUGGAAGACUAGGCACGCUGAAGAGACUAUAUUAGCUGGCCCAUGAUUUGAGGAGAGAGGAACAAGCAAAACGGAGCAAGAGGAAAGACUGCCCUAAGCCAGAAGCAGCAGCAAGAAGAGCAGAAAAGUAUGAGGCAGGAGUGGAAUGGCAUAGAGAUAAGCCCACUCAUGGUAAACUGUCAG